rnacentral:rRNA from 1 species
CUUCGGUGGGGAUUAGUGGCGAACGGGUGAGUAACACGUGGGCAAUCUGCCCUUCACUCUGGGACAAGCCCUGGAAACGGGGUCUAAUACCGGAUAAUACUUCCACUCUCCUGAGUGGGGGUUGAAAGCUCCGGCGGUGAAGGAUGAGCCCGCGGCCUAUCAGCUUGUUGGUGAGGUAAUGGCUCACCAAGGCGACGACGGGUAGCCGGCCUGAGAGGGCGACCGGCCACACUGGGACUGAGACACGGCCCAGACUCCUACGGGAGGCAGCAGUGGGGAAUAUUGCACAAUGGGCGAAAGCCUGAUGCAGCGACGCCGCGUGAGGGAUGACGGCCUUCGGGUUGUAAACCUCUUUCAGCAGGGAAGAAGCGAGAGUGACGGUACCUGCAGAAGAAGCGCCGGCUAACUACGUGCCAGCAGCCGCGGUAAUACGUAGGGCGCAAGCGUUGUCCGGAAUUAUUGGGCGUAAAGAGCUCGUAGGCGGCUUGUCACGUCGGGUGUGAAAGCCCGGGGCUUAACCCCGGGUCUGCAUUCGAUACGGGCUAGCUAGAGUGUGGUAGGGGAGAUCGGAAUUCCUGGUGUAGCGGUGAAAUGCGCAGAUAUCAGGAGGAACACCGGUGGCGAAGGCGGAUCUCUGGGCCAUUACUGACGCUGAGGAGCGAAAGCGUGGGGAGCGAACAGGAUUAGAUACCCUGGUAGUCCACGCCGUAAACGGUGGGAACUAGGUGUUGGCGACAUUCCACGUCGUCGGUGCCGCAGCUAACGCA